rnacentral:rRNA from 1 species
AUUGAACGCUGGCGGCAGGCCUAACACAUGCAAGUCGAGCGGAUGAAGGGAGCUUGCUCCUGGAUUCAGCGGCGGACGGGUGAGUAAUGCCUCGGAAUCUGCCUGGUAGUGGGGGAUAACGUCCGGAAACGGGCGCUAAUACCGCAUACGUCCUGCGGGAGAAAGCGGGGGAUCCUCGGACCUCACGCUAUCAGAUGAGCCUAGGUCGGAUUCGCUAGUUGGUGGGGUAAAGGCCUACCAAGGCGACGAUCCGUAACUGGUCUGAGAGGAUGAUCAGUCACACUGGAACUGAGACACGGUCCAGACUCCUACGGGAGGCAGCAGUGGGGAAUAUUGGACGAUGGGCGAAAGCCUGAUCCAGCCAUGCCGCGUGUGUGAAGAAGGUCUUCGGAUUGUAAAGCACUUUAAGUUGGGAGGAAGGGAAGUAAGUUCAUACCUUGCUGUGUUGACGUUACCAACAGAAUAAGCACCGGCUAACUUCGUG